CAAGCGAUAAAGGCCGACGAACAAUGACAAUCCGUCAAUUGCACGCGUUAUCGUCGCCACGAGUCGGCUAGGACAGAUAAUACUACGGCGCAGGUAAAAACCGGUACCCGUCAUACCAGUCCGUCAUUUGCAACAUUGACAACGAAAAUGUUUCCGCGGGGUCUGCUACUGAUGCUGCUGCUCACCUGCAUCCUUUAUGAGCACAGCUAUGCGCAAGAAGUCACCACGCAAAUUAUGUGUUAAGGAAGAGAUUACUGAGUAACAACCAACUACAGCCAAUUAAAAUAUCGUCGGUCGUCAAUUAUAGACUACAAUUUGUGUUACUAAAUAUUCGAUCAAAUCAGAAUUAAAAAGUAUAUAAAUUUGUAAGAUAAAACUGCUCUACGUCGUCCUUAAUCCAGAAAUGUUCUCUCAGUAAAUCUAAUUGUAAUAAAUCAACACCAGUGCAUUGACGUCAAACAUGUUAACGCAGGUUAUGUGUAUUUGAUAAUUAAUUUAUCAAUUCCGAUUUACUGUUAGCAAAACCCUACUAGCAAGCCGCCAUGGUGACCGUGCGUUAAACCAUAAUUUAAUCAAAUAUGAUAUAUGACUUUUUUAUAAAUGUAACUCACAAUCA